AUGGGGGGAGAUUGGCUGCGGGGCUGCCUCCGUGCGUCCGCUUUCCACUGUCCCUGCCCAGCAAGGGAAUUGCAGCCAAGUCGUGCAUUGCAGCCGGCGUCUCCCAGCCACUGCCUGCCAAGUGUGGCAGAGACCUGGCAUAGCUCUGCUGCCAGCCCCAAAUGGAGCUGGGGAUGCUCUCUGGAGCCCCCCCCCUCCCCCCCCCGUCUCCUGUAUCAUGCUGUGGUGGAAGGGCAGCAUCCUGUCCUGGCAGGGCCCUGCACUCCCCUCACUUUGGUUUUUCCAAGCCUCCCUGGUGUCAGUAUUUCUGAGUGCCAGGAGCUGCUGGCAGCAGGGUGGCUGUGCUGUAGGGUCUCCCAGCUCCGCGAUGCCCUGUGCAGAGCUCAGACAAGCUGGGAUGUGCCGUGGGCUGGCGGCUGCUCCUGGCCUCUGGCUGUUUGCAGCGUCUGGGGCUCUGCCUCGAGCCAGAGGAUGCUUUGCCUUACUAAUAGAUUGAAGAUCUUGUUAUCUCCUUGCUCAGGGAUGGCAGGCAGGAGGAAAUGGUUGCUCCUACUUGUCCAAGGCUGGAGAAGUCUCCUGGGAGCCUCUCUGGCAGAGGAAGUUGCAGAGAUGAAGAUGCCAUCUCGAAAGCCUCCAAGAUCUUUGUUUCACUGUUGUCAUGGCCAAGUGGCGUGGCAUCCCACGGCUGUGUGCUGGGCAGCGGGGCAAGCUCUGUGUGCAGCCAGCACUUCCCAGGGCCAUGGAGAUGGGUCAGGGCCAGGGCAGGCAGCUCAGCUGGUGAAUGCCUCGCUCCUGGGACCAAGGAGCUGCUGGCUUAGAGACACUCUCCAGAGCCAGCUUUGGGCAGGUGAGCUCUGUGCUAGGGGCAAGCAGCACGGUGGCCUCCUUCAAGGCAUCUGCAGCGUUGCCUGCAGUGCUGAUGGUGCUUUUAUGUUCAUUAUGAACCAGCUCGUUAGAUGGACUCUGGGAAGCCGUGGGCACCCAAGGAUUGUUUGCCUGGUCCCAGCAGCUUCAGCUGCAGAGCCAGGUGGGGAGUGGGUGGCCUCUGGUUUCCCCACGCAGUGGUUUUCAUCAAAGCGAAAUUGCAGAAACUGUGGCCACAGCCUCUGCCCUUGGUGGGGCAGACCUCUGCUGCACUGCCCUGGCUCGUUGCAGCCCAGCCUGGGGGCAGCUCGUGGUGCUGCCUGCACCCACUGCCCUUCCCUUGCCCACAUCCCUGCUGCUGCUGUCCCCAGAACGGGAGUGGUGCCAGGCAGGGCUGGGAGCAGGCUCAGCACCAAGAGGUUUAUCCUGGAAAGAGGAAACAAGAAAACCCCAGAUUUGCAGUUCCAAAGUCCAGGGCUGCAGGGUGACGGGCUGAGCUGGUGCUGA
rnacentral:lncRNA from 1 species